AUCCUGGCUCAGGAUGAACGCUGGCGGCGUGCCUAAUACAUGCAAGUCGAACGCACCGCUUCGGUGGUGAGUGGCGAACGGGUGAGUAAUACAUAAGUAACCUGGCCUUUCGAGGGGGAUAACUAUUGGAAACGAUAGCUAAGACCGCAUAGGCAUAAUUCUCGCAUGAGAGUUAUGUUAAAUAUCCCAAGGGAUAGCGAGAGGAUGGACUUAUGGCGCAUUAGCUAGUUGGUGAGGGUAACGGCCCACCAAGGCGACGAUGCGUAGCCGACCUGAGAGGGUGGACGGCCACACUGGGACUGAGACACGGCCCAGACUCCUACGGGAGGCAGCAGUAGGGAAUUUUCGGCAAUGGGCGAAAGCCUGACCGAGCAACGCCGCGUGAGGGAGGAAGUAUUUCGGUAUGUAAACCUCUGUUAUAAAGGAAGAACGGCGCAUGUAGGGAAUGACAUGCGAGUGACGGUACUUUAUGAGAAAGCCACGGCUAACUACGUGCCAGCAGCCGCGGUAAUACGUAGGUGGCGAGCGUUAUCCGGAAUCAUUGGGCGUAAAGAGGGAGCAGGCGGCAACUAGGGUCUGCGGUAAAAGACCGAAGCUAAACUUCGGUAAGCCGUGGAAACCGAGGAGCUAGAGUGCAGUAGAGGAUCGUGGAAUUCCAUGUGUAGCGGUGAAAUGCGUAGAUAUAUGGAGGAACACCAGUGGCGAAGGCGACGAUCUGGGCUGCAACUGACGCUCAGUCCCGAAAGCGUGGGGAGCAAAUAGGAUUAGAUACCCUAGUAGUCCACGCCGUAAACG
rnacentral:rRNA from 1 species